rnacentral:rRNA from 1 species
UAUCCUACGGGGGGCAGCAGUGAGGAAUAUUGGUCAAUGGGCUUACGCCUGAACCAGCCAAGUCGCGUGAGGGAAGACUGCCCUACGGGUUGUAAACCUCUUUUGUCAGGGAGCAAUGCCGGCUACGCGUAGCCGGACUGAGAGUACCUGAAGAAAAAGCAUCGGCUAACUCCGUGCCAGCAGCGGCGGUAAUACGGAGGAUGCGAGCGUUAUCCGGAUUUAUUGGGUUUAAAGGGUGCGUAGGCGGAAUGUCAAGUCAGCGGUAAAAUUUAGGGGCUCAACCUCGU